GUGGGGAAUAUUGGGCAAUGGGCGCAAGCCUGACCCAGCAACGCCGCGUGAAGGAAGAAGGCUUUCGGGUUGUAAACUUCUUUUGACAGGGAAGAGUAGAAGACGGUACCUGUCGAAUAAGCCACGGCUAACUACGUGCCAGCAGCCGCGGUAAUACGUAGGUGGCAAGCGUUGUCCGGAUUUACUGGGUGUAAAGGGCGUGUAGCCGGGUUGACAAGUCAGAUGUGAAAUCCUGCGGCUUAACCGCAGAACUGCAUUUGAAACUGUUGAUCUUGAGUACUGGAGAGGCAGACGGAAUUCCUAGUGUAGCGGUGAAAUGCGUAGAUAUUAGGAGGAACACCAGUGGCGAAGGCGGUCUGCUGGACAGCAACUGACGGUGAGGCGCGAAAGCGUGGGGAGCAAACAGGA
rnacentral:rRNA from 1 species